UAUUGGACAAUGGGCGCAAGCCUGAUCCAGCCAUGCCGCGUGAGUGAUGAAGGCCUUAGGGUUGUAAAGCUCUUUCAGUAGGGACGAUAAUGACGGUACCCAAAGAAGAAGCUCCGGCUAACUUCGUGCCAGCAGCCGCGGUAAUACGAAGGGGGCUAGCGUUGUUCGGAUUUACUGGGCGUAAAGCGCGUGUAGGCGGGCUGGAAAGUUGGGGGUGAAAUCCCGAGGCUCAACCUCGGAACUGCCUCCAAAACUUCCAGCCUGGACUCAAGCAGAGGCAAGUGGAAUUGCGAGUGUAGAGGUGAAAUUCGUAGAUAUUCGCAGGAACACCAGUGGCGAAGGCGACUUGCUGGGCUUGUAGUGACGCUGAGACGCGAAAGCGUGGGGAGCAAACAGG
rnacentral:rRNA from 1 species